rnacentral:rRNA from 1 species
AAUCAACGCUGGCGGCGUGCCUCAGACAUGCAAGUCGAACGAGAAGUCCCCUUCGGGGAGUGGAUAGUGGCGCACGGGUGAGUAACACGUGGGUAAUUUACCUUUGGGUGGGGAACAACAGCCGGAAACGGCUGCUAAUACCGCAUAAAUGCAGCGGCUCCUCAUGGAGACAGUUGUUAAAGCGGGGGAUCGCAAGACCUCGCGCCUGAAGAGAAGCCCGCGGCAGAUAGCUAGUUGGUAAGGUAAUGGCUUACCAAGGCGACGAUCUGUAACCGGCCUGAGAGGGCGGUCGGUCACACUGACACUGACAUACGGGUCAGACUCCUACGGGAGGCAGCAGUCGGGAA